rnacentral:lncRNA from 1 species
AUACCCCCCCACACGCACAUAUCUGCUGUUUAUACAUUCUCUCUGAGAUUUAGAGCAUGCAUAAACCUACUUAAGUGUAUUUUUACCUGAUUAAUUGCCAUAAUUAAAUGUGUAUUAGUUGUUUACCGAUUUAGUUAAAAAUUAUAGCCUAACUGAAGAACAGUCAAUAUUCUAGUGGCAAAAAUAUUUUAUGUUUUUGUGAUGCAUUCAGUUGCUCUCAACUUCAAAACACCCAACUUACUCUUUGAAACUGUAUUUUUUCAGUGUUUAGAAUGUGUUCACAUAAACAAUGUUAUCAGCAGAUUUUCUGUUCUUAAAGGUUUAUAUCAGAAUAUUGAUAUUUUUUUACUCUUUUUUUUAUGACAGAUCAUAACACUUAGAUAUAAUGUAUUGAUUAAUAAAUAAACUAACGCUGGCAGCUGUUUCUAGCAACAAAUGUUGACAUAAGUAUCUGAAUCUAACAAUAAGGGAAAAAGUACAAGGAAAAAUAGCAAGGAAUACAAAAUAUUCAGUUACUUUAUAUGCAGGAUUCAUAUAUUACCAUGCACAGAAAUGGAUUUUGUUUGUGAUAAGUGAUAAUGAAACUGUUGUUUGCUGACAAUGUGACUGUGAGGCUUGGCACUUGUUUGAGUAACAAGGUAACAGGGAGAGGGGGGCGAAACCUGGGGUCCCAGGGAGAGAUGGUGUUCCAGGGAAAGAUGGCCUUCCAGGGUUAUCUGGGAAACAGGGUAUCGCUGGUCCCAUUGGCCCCCCAGGAUUAAAAGGAGAGCAGGGAGACAUCGGUCCACCAGGAAAGUCUGUAACUGGACCCCCUGGAAAGAAGGGUGAGAUGGUGAGUUGUUGCCAUGGUUACAUCAUAGCGAACACUGUGUGAAGAUCAACCUGUCUCACCUGCAUGACAGAUAAUCUCAUUUGAAGCAAACGUAAUGUUAGAGCAGCAUGUACGUGAGCUAUAUCAAUAGAUCUUCUUUCAGCGUUGUCAUACUCAAAUGCCAACUGAGGAGCGGCACAAAGUAUUAAAGAAAAUCACGUACAAGUGAAGACUUUAAUUUGUUCAAUCCAAGUAGAGAGGCUCUGUUUUAUUUGACUUUAAUCUAAUAUUUAUAUUUAUAAAGCCUCAGGUAUCUAUUUUUCAUACUAAGUUUAGACAAUUUUUGACAGUCUCUGUGUGUUUUCCAUCUACU